CAUCAGUACCUGGAUAUUUGCAUUUAGUUGGUACUGAAAGGGUGGAUUUGUGGAUGAAAAAUUCAAAUUGAGCUUCAUGUUCAGACCUGAUGGUUACUGGAUCCGUGCCGAUCUGAAUAUCAUUGGCCUUUUCAUCUGGAAGGAAAGGGUGCUAGAUGGUGAAGGUUUGCAGCCUGAAAUCUCAAACUCGUGCAGAUUGUGAUUAAGUUAACCAGCAUUUGAAGAACCAAAGGUAGAGAAUCACUCGGUCAAAAUCCUGCAACACUCUCCCACACAGCAUUGUCGGUCUAUCUGCGCCAAAUGGACUGUGAAUGGUACAAGACAGCAGCUCACGAACAUCUUCUCAAGAGUAACUAGA